rnacentral:rRNA from 1 species
CCUACGGGAGGCAGCAGUGGGGAAUAUUGGGCAAUGGAGGAAACUCUGACCCAGCGACGCCGCGUGCGGGAUGAAGGCCUUCGGGUUGUAAACCGCUUUCAGUAGGGAAGAAGCGAAAGUGACGGUACCUACAAAAGAAGCACCGGCUAACUAUGUGCCAGCAGCCGCGGUAAUACAUAGGGUGCAAGCGUUGUCCGGAAUUAUUGGGCGUAAAGAGCUCGUAGGUCGUUUGUUACGUCGGAUGUGAAAACCUGAGGCUCAACCUCAGGCCUGCAUUCGAUACGGGCAAACUAGAGUUUGGUAGGGGAGACUGGAAUUCCUGGUGUAGCGGUGGAAUGCGCAGAUAUCAGGAGGAACACCAAUGGCGAAGGCAGGUCUCUGGGCCAAUACUGACACUGAGGAGCGAAAGUCUGGGGAGCGAACAGGAUUAGAUACCCUGGUAGUCCAGACCGUAAACGGUGGGCACUAGUUGUGGGAACCUUCCACGGUUUCUGCGACGCAGCUAACGCAUUAAGUGCCCCGCCUGGGGAGUACGAUCGCAAGAUUAAAACUCAAAGAUAGUCGCGNGNGAGACGCGACGACGACGACGAGGAGGAG